UGAGGAAUAUUGGUCAAUGGACGGAAGUCUGAACCAGCCAAGUAGCGUGCAGGAUGACGGCCCUAUGGGUUGUAAACUGCUUUUAUGCGGGGAUAAAGUUUGGGAUGUAUCCCUUUUUGCAGGUACCGCAUGAAUAAGGACCGGCUAAUUCCGUGCCAGCAGCCGCGGUAAUACGGAAGGUCCGGGCGUUAUCCGGAUUUAUUGGGUUUAAAGGGAGCGUAGGCCGUCGUUUAAGCGUGUUGUGAAAUGCCGCGGCUCAACCGUGGCACUGCAGCGCGAACUGGAUGACUUGAGUUCGCGGGAGGUAGGCGGAAUUCGUGGUGUAGCGGUGAAAUGCUUAGAUAUCACG
rnacentral:rRNA from 1 species